rnacentral:rRNA from 1 species
GACGAACGCUGGCGGCGUGCUUAACACAUGCAAGUCGAACGGUAAGGCCCUUCGGGGUACACGAGUGGCGAACGGGUGAGUAACACGUGGGUGAUCUGCCCUGCACUUCGGGAUAAGCCUGGGAAACUGGGUCUAAUACCGGAUAGGACCAUGGACUUCACGGUUUGUGGUGGAAAGCUUUUUGCGGUGUGGGAUGGGCCCGCGGCCUAUCAGCUUGUUGGUGGGGUAAUGGCCUACCAAGGCGACGACGGGUUAGCCGGCCUGAGAGGGUGUCCGGCCACACUGGGACUGAGAUACGGCCCAGACUCCUACGGGAGGCAGCAGUGGGGAAUAUUGCACAAUGGGCGCAAGCCUGAUGCAGCGACGCCGCGUGAGGGAUGACGGCC